AUUGAACGCUGGCGGCAGGCCUAACACAUGCAAGUCGAGCGAGCGGCGUACGGGUGAGUAAUGUCUGGGAAACUGCCUGAUUGAGGGGGCUAACUCCUGGAAACGGUAUCUAAUACCCCAUACCAUCAGAUGCACCCAGAUGGGAUUAGCUAGUAGGUGGGGUAAAGGCUGACCUAGGCGAGGAUCACUUGCUGGUCUGAGAGGAUGACCAUCCACACUGGAGUGGAGACACGGCCCAGACUCCUACGUGAGGAAGCAGUGGGGAAUAUUGAACAAUGGGCGGAAGAAUGAUGCAGCGAUGCCGCGUGUAUGAAGAAGGCAUUCGGGUUGUAAAGUACUUUCAGUGGGGAGGCGUUACCAACAGAAGAAGCACGGGCUAACUCCGGGCCAGCAGCCGCGGUAAUAC
rnacentral:rRNA from 1 species